UCAACUGUCCUAAUGUUUAUCUCGCUACAGAUAAAUUAAUGUUAUUAUAAAAUAAACACAGCUUUUUUGACGUCUAUUAUUACAGAUGUGAAGUAUAAAGAAUUUUCCUCCACUCAAUUUUUAAUUUAUUUUCGUCUCAAUUUUACUGUAUAUAAACCAAAGUCUCAAAGACAAUUGGUAUCAGUUGAAAAAUGAAACUUACAUUGUUAGCAGUUUUAGCUCUUUUGGGCACUUUCAUGAUGACAGGAGUCGUUGCCGAUUCUUGCCGAAAAGAAGGACAGAGUUGCAGUCGAAACAGACAAUGCUGUAGCAAUAAUUGCAAUCAAAAAAGAGGCGUGUGCAAAUAAUAACUCCUACAGAUGAAAAUAUUCAAACACUAAGAUUUUAAUGGUAUAAAGAACGUUGCAAUUUUCAAAGGAAUUAAUUCUACAUCACCUAUGAAUGUUCAUCUUGCAAAACCGCUAACAUUUUAUAUUUUAUUGUCUUCAAAGAUGUUAAAAAAUAAACUCUGUAUUGGAUUUUUUUUCUUAAAUGCUGUAAUCUUAUUACAAAAAAAUAAAUAUUUUAUUCUAGCAUUAAUGCUUAUAUUUAAUUUUACAAAAUAUUAAUUAUCUUGUAUAUGAUCAAUAAAUUUAAAUAUUUGCUUUA